AUACGGAGGGUGCAAGCGUUGUUCGGAAUUACUGGGCGUAAAGCGCGCGUAGGCGGUCUGUUAUGUCAGAUGUGAAAGUCCUCGGCUCAACCGGGGAAGUGCAUUUGAAACUGGCAGACUUGAGUACUGGAGGGGGUGGUGGAAUUCCCGGUGUAGAGGUGAAAUUCGUAGAUAUCUGGAGGAAUACCGGUGGCGAAGGCGACCACCUGGCCAGAUACUGACGCUGAGGUGCGAAAGCGUGGGGAGCAAACAGGAUUAGAUACCCUAGUAGUCC
rnacentral:rRNA from 1 species